AACGAUUCUUCAUUUGAAAGCGUAUUAGGUUACAUGAUGAAUGAUUCGAGUUACUUAGCUUCUUCCAGGUAUUUCGUGUUUUAAUAAAAAGAUCUUUGGAUUGAAAGCAAUAGUGAAAAAUCGGUAGAAAUUGCGCAGCAAUUCCAGUAUAUUUUUACCGCGAAAUUUUUUGAACCGAUGCAUGUUAAUAAAUGAGAAAACCAGAACGACCUCUUCCUUGCAUGCAAGAUUCAAGGGCAGUGCAAAUCAUACCGGAAGACGAUGCCAGGAAAGUCGAGUCGUUGACAGUGAAACAAAAGGAGUUACGCCUCAUUUUCAGAAUUAUAGUGGCAUCUCUAAUGAGGAACGAGCACUCGGAGGCCAUUUGUGGUUCACGUUGGUAAUUGUCUCGGCAAGAUUACUUGCUUAAGCGAUUUUCCUUUACGCCUGCUUGCGACUCGACGUUUGCGCGUUCCCGGCCAAGAGCGCUCUGUUUCUUCGAAUUGUCUUCCCUUAAUUGGAUGUGAUUCUCGGUUUCAAUUAGCGCAGUUUUUUUCGCGAUAAUUACGGAAG
rnacentral:misc_RNA from 1 species